AGACCUUCUGGAAGCUGGAGUAACCAAGAAGGAACACUUUUCAUUUAUAAUGAGGGAGAAGGCAGCCACCUCCAAGCCAGGGAGCAGCUCCACCAGAACCCAACAAUGUUGCUACCCUGAUCUUGGAUUUCCUAGACUCAAAAACUGUGAGAAUCAUUUGUGGACAUGCACAGGAUGGUGAAAAAUUUGAGCCCACUGAUGUGCACAUUCCCAGCUGAGGUCAAACAAAGUGACACUCUGCCUUCUUGUUUCAGCUUCCAUAGUGUAAACAAAUUUUAUUCCAUUUAUUCAUUCAAACACUAAUCUGAGUUCUGCUAUGAAGGGAUUGUGCAGAUUAAAGUCCCUAAUCAGAUCUGUACUGUCACCAUCAGCUCUCCCCUUCACCCAAUUUUCAAGCCUUUGAACUUGGACUGAAUUACACCAUGGACUUUUCUAGUUCUCCAGCUUGCAAGUGGAAGAUCAUGGGAUUUCCUGGCUUCCAUAAUCAUGUAAGCCAAUGCUAAAAUAAUAAAUUUCCUCUUAUAUAUAA